rnacentral:rRNA from 1 species
CGGAAGGAUCAUUAUCGAAUAGACUUGAUGGGUUGUCGCUGGCUCCUAGGAGCAUGUGCACACCCGUCAUCUUUAUCCAUCCACCUGUGCACCUUUUGUAGACUUGGAGGCAUACAAGCACAUGCAUGCAAUCUGGGUCCACUUACGUGGUCUCCAGGAAUGGAGUCUGCCAUGGGUGGCUGACUCUGAGGCUGGCGCAUGUGGGAGUGCAUACCCUCUGAGUCUAUGUCUUUUUCAUACACCACAUUUGCAUGUCUCGGAAUGUAUUAUCACAGGCUGUCGUGCCUAUAAAACACAAUACAACUUUCAGCAACGGAUCUCUUGGCUCUCGCAUCGAUGAAGAACGCAGCGAAAUGCGAUAAGUAAUGUGAAUUGCAGAAUUCAGUGAAUCAUCGAAUCUUUGAACGCACCUUGCGCUCCUUGGUAUUCCGAGGAGCAUGCCUGUUUGAGUGUCAUUUAAUUCUCAACCCCACUAGCCUUUUGUGGCUGGCUUUGGUGGCUUGGACAUGGGGGACAUCUGCGGGCCUCUCUCUUUUGAGAAGGUCGGCUCCCCUGAAAUGCAUUAGCGGAACAGUUUGCAGUGCCGUUACUGGUGUGAUAACUAUCUACGCCAACAUGAGAUGGGCUGCUCUCUGAUAGGUUCAGCUUCUAACCGUCCCUCUUCAUGUGGACAACUAUAUGCCUUGACCCUUGACCUCAAAUCAGGUAGGACUACCCGCUGAACUUAAGCAUAUCAAUAAGCGGAG